AGUAACACGUAUGCAACCUGCCUGCCACAGCCGGAUAAUCGGGAGAAAUUCCGUCUAAUACGGCAUAAUGCAUCGACGGGACAUCCUGUUGGUGCCAAAGGUUGAUUCCGGUGGCGGAUGGGCAUGCGUCGCAUUAGUUAGUUGGCGGUGUAACGGACCACCAAGACGACGAUGCGUAGGGGUUCUGAGAGGAAGGUCCCCCACACUGGUACUGAGACACGGACCAGGCUCCUACGGGAGGCAGCAG
rnacentral:rRNA from 1 species